rnacentral:misc_RNA from 1 species
UCCUGGUUAACCCAGGCAGUCUCAUUAGAGUUCCCACCUUAAAUGUUGGCAACUAAUGAUAAGGGUUGCGCUCGUUGCGGGACUUAACCCAACACCUCACGGCACGAGCUGACGACAGCCAUGCAGCACCUGUAUAGCGGCCCUUGCGGGAAAUAUCAUCUCUGAUAUCGUCCACUAUAUGUCAAGCCUGGGUAAGGUUCUUCGCGUUGCAUCGAAUUAAACCACAUGCUCCACUGCUUGUGCGGGCCCCCGUCAAUUCUUUUGAGUUUCACCCUUGCGAGUGUACUCCCCAGGCGGUAUACUUAUCGCGUUAGCUUCGACACAGUCGGGGUUGAGUCCAACUACAUCAAGUAUACAUCGUUUACAGCAAGGACUAC